GAUGAACGCUGGCGGCGUGCCUAAUACAUGCAAGUCGAGCGAACAGACGAGGAGCUUGCUCCUCUGACGUUAGCGGCGGACGGGUGAGUAACACGUGGAUAACCUACCUAUAAGACUGGGAUAACUUCGGGAAACCGGAGCUAAUACCGGAUAAUAUAUUGAACCGCAUGGUUCAAUAGUGAAAGACGGUUUUGCUGUCACUUAUAGAUGGAUCCGCGCCGCAUUAGCUAGUUGGUAAGGUAACGGCUUACCAAGGCAACGAUGCGUAGCCGACCUGAGAGGGUGAUCGGCCACACUGGAACUGAGACACGGUCCAGACUCCUACGGGAGGCAGCAGUAGGGAAUCUUCCGCAAGGGGCGAAAGCCUGACGGAGCAACGCCGCGUGAGUGAUGAAGGUCUUCGGAUCGUAAAACUCUGUUAUUAGGGAAGAACAAAUGUGUAAGUAACAAUGCACGUCUUGACGGUACCUAAUCAGAAAGCCACGGCUAACUACGU
rnacentral:rRNA from 1 species